rnacentral:rRNA from 1 species
GGGUCAGUAGGUUGGUCGUGCCACCGGUACGUACUGGUCUCACUGAUUCCUCCUUCCUGAAGAACCGUAAUGCCAUUAAUUUGGUGUUGCGGGGAAACUGGACUGUUACUUUGAAAAAAUUAGAGUGUUUAAAGCAGGCUAACGCUUGAAUACAUUAGCAUGUAAUAAUGAAAUAGGACGAUCGAUCCUAUUUUGUUGGUUUCUAGGAUUGACGUA